UGUUGUAUGACUCUAAAUUAUCCCAUAAUUUAAUUAUUAAUUUACACAUACUAUGGGCCUUAAUAGACCUUUGUACUCUUUUUCAGCUGUUUCACAGGAAUUUUCCCGACUAAAUCUUCAUCGCCUUCCACUCUCUCUAAAGCUUUAUGUUUCAGCAGCUUCAUGAGGCCUUACCUUUGUUGUAUUUUCAAAAGUAAGUUUUGUUUUCAAAUUGGGACAUAGCUUUAGGCAGACAGUUGAUCAGUUUACAGAGGCAUUUCCAAUAAUUCCAUAUUCAAGUCUCUCCUCUCUCCCUCUACUGAUCGAUCACCUUCAUCAAGCUUCUUUCUCUUUUCUAUAUAUGUAUGAACUUUGAUUGCUAAGGAAUCAUCGUAAUCUUCAAAAUUCAUCAUUUGAAAUGGUCUCUCAAGUGAUGAGUGAAGACAAUAGCACAAGACAUGGAUGCUUGCAAUAAAUAAAGAAAAACUCUGGAUUGAUGUUACCUUUUGUAUUGGACCAGUUGGACAUCUUGUUUCUUCUUUUCUUUUCUUUUUUUUUUUUCAAAUUUUUUCAUAAUUUUAUUUCUAGGUUUUUGAUAAAUUUAUUGUUUUUUGUGGUUGUACAGAAUGUCAAAGGGAACACAAUCAAUUUACAGGACGUGGUGUUUUGUGGUCUAAUUGAUUUUUCUUAUAAUUAAUAGAUGUUCAAUAAAUAAAGAGUUUAUAUUUUUUUGGAUUCUGUGUUUUGUCUCAUUAUUUGUUUGGACCCUGUGUUUUAACAAAUUACUUUUUGGAAUCUAUAUUUUGUAAAAUGGUUGAGUUUAUACAUUUUUGGACCCUGUGUUUUAACAAAUUAUUUUUUGGACCUUUUUGGACCCUAUCUUAUAAUCCGAUUUUGGUUAAUGAUUUAUCAACUAAAAUUAUAAAUAAUUUAUCAAACUAACAAUUUAGAACAAAAAUAAAAUCAUUCUGCUUAAAAACUGUGUUGUUAUAUUUAAUUUUUUUUUUAUCAAAAUUGAGUUUAGGGUUUUAUUUUAACCAUUUUACAAAACAUGGGGUCCAAAAAAUAAUUUAUCAAAACACAAGGUCCAAAUAGGUAAUGGGACAAAACUCAGGAUCCAAAAAAAUUUAAACCCGUAAAUAAAAUUAUGUUUAUAUGGAGAACCGAAUUUGAACUUUUAAGUUUUACUCUUUUUGCUUGAUAAUAACCCAAUAA